CCUGAUUGGAUUCUAGUAGCAUUGCAUGGACAACCUUUAGACCUUGCAGGUCUAUCAGGAUCAUGACCUGUAAUUUGAGGA
rnacentral:pre_miRNA from 1 species